rnacentral:rRNA from 1 species
AACGAACGCUGGCGGCAGGCUUAACACAUGCAAGUCGAGCGCCCCGCAAGGGGAGCGGCAGACGGGUGAGUAACGCGUGGGAAUCUACCGUGCCCUACGGAAUAACGCAUGGAAACGUGUGCUAAUACCGUAUACGCCCUACGGGGGAAAGAUUUAUCGGGGUAUGAUGAGCCCGCGUUGGAUUAGCUAGUUGGUGGGGUAAAGGCCUACCAAGGCGACGAUCCAUAGCUGGUCUGAGAGGAUGAUCAGCCACAUUGGGACUGAGACACGGCCCAAACUCCUACGGGAGGCAGCAGUGGGGAAUAUUGGACAAUGGGCGCAAGCCCGAUCCAGCCAUGCCGCGUGAGUGAUGAAGGUCUUAGGAUUGUAAAGCUCUUUCACCGGUGAAGAUAAUGACGGUAACCGGAGAAGAAGCCCCGGCUAACUUCGUGCAGCCGCCGCCGUAAUAC